ACACUCCCUGGAAGUGGGAGAAAAAGAAGGGUGAGGGGUGGGGUACUGGCUAUGUGGCCAUAAAGCCAUGAAAGUGUUGCCCCUAGGAUGGAAGGGAGCUUGCACCCUGGGGACAAUAAUUCCAAACUUAACUAUUAUUGAAGACCCGCAAAGCCAAAGCCCCCUUGAGAACCCAUGCAGAAUUAAGAGGUCCCCUGAUAGUCCUCUAGUAAAAAGAAACAGGGCAUUUCACAGCUUUGCAAGGUGGUUUUCACCUUGGUUAGGGGUGAGUGAAUUAGAAAAAGCUAUUGUAACUAUCUCAGCUAUAAUUGAAGAACUAGAAGAGAACACUCUGGAUGCAGUCCAGGCACUACAAGAGCAGGUAACAAGUUUGUCACAAAAUUGUACUCCAGAUUCAAAUGAUAGUAGAUUUAUUACUAACCUCACCAGGAGGAGCGUGCACUCUGAUUAAUGCUAGUUGCUGUAUGUAUGUAGAUCAAAUGGGAUGAAUUUGACUGAUCUCAAAAAUAUUGGGGAAAAAACUUCUUAGGCCUUCAUAGAAUGGCCUAAGAUGACACUUCCUAAUUGUCUGGCCUAAAAAGCCAAUAAAUGAAACUUCAGUAUUUUGGCCAGAACACAGGCCUGAUGAAAAUUCAGGCUUUAAAUUUAUCUGUAAACAAUAAGACUCCUUUUUGGAGAGGAAUCAAGUUACGCUCCCUCUAAUCCUAAUCUUGCACCGGAGGCAGCAGCAGAUGCUCAAGGAAGGGAGACAGGGACUGCAAUUGACACUGACCAUGCAGAAGGAGCUCACUCUAGGCUCUGGAAGAAUUAGAACAAUGUUGAAGAGAUACUGAGAAUUUUGCCUUCCCUGAUACUAACAAUACUAACACCAAAUGUGUAUCCUAUUCGGGAGAUUUGAAUGGGACAAGGACAAACUGGUUAUGUGAACUACUUCUUUGGUUGCUUUCUUCACAGCGACUUGAGGAGUGCUUCUGCAUCCAGCUUUUUGUGUUCCCUUCAGUGCCUUUCCUCUGAGGACAUUUUCAUCGUACAGCUUUUGUGGUUCUCCACACCACGUUUCUGCUGAGGAUUGCUUCAUCAUUCAGCUUUUCAAGUUAUCUUCAGUGUGGCUCUUGAAGAGUGAUGCUCAGUGGAGCUUUUUGUGUCUUCUUCACCUUGUGGCCCCUGAAGAUUGCUUCAGCGUGCAGCUUUUGGUGUUUUCUUCACUGUGACCUAUGAGGAGUUGUGCAUCGUGCAGCUCUUGGGGUUCUCCUCACCAUGUUUUCCUUGAGAGAGCUUCAUUGUGCAUUUCUUGGUAUUGUUUUCACCUUGUUGCCCCUGAGAAGUGCUUCAUCCUCCAACAUGUGGUGUGUUUUUUUUCUUGGUUCAGGCCCCUGAGUAUUGCGUCAUUGUGCAGCUUUAGGUGUUUUCUUCACUGCGGCCCUGAAGAUUGCUUCAUCAUGCAGCUUUUGGGUUUCUCUUCAUUACGGCCUUGUGGAGAUCUUCAUUGGCCAGCUUUUGGUGAUUUGUUCUCUGUGGCCCCGAGGAGUUCUUCAUCGUGCAGCUUUUGGUGUUUUCUUCUUUACGGUUCUGAGGAGUUCUGCAUCGUGCAGCUCUUGGGGUUCUCCUCACCAUGUUCUCCCUGGCCCUGAGGAUUGCUUCAUUGUGCAGCUUUUGUUGUUUCUUCCCUGCAGCCUCUGAGGAGUGCUUUGUUGAGCAGCUUUUAGUGUCUUCUUGACUUUGCGACCAUUGAGUUCUGCAUCAUGCAGCUUUUGGGGUUCCCCAUACCACAUGUCCCCUGAGGAGUUCUUCAGCGUGCAGCUUUUGGUGUUUUCUUCACUGUGGCGUGUGAGGAGUUCUGCAUCGUGCAGCUUCUGGGGUUCCGUUCACCACUUUUCCCCUGAGGAAAGCUUCAUCGGGCAGCUAUUUGUGUUUUCCUCACUACGACCCUGAGGAGAACUUCAUCAUGCAGCUUUUGUGGUUCUCCACACCACGUUUCUGCUGAGGAUUGCUUCAUCAUUCAGCUUUUCAAGUUAUCUUCAGUGUGGCUCUUGAAGAGUGAUGCUCAGUGGAGCUUUUUGUGUCUUCUUCACCUUGUGGCCCCUGAAGAUUGCUUCAGCGUGCAGCUUUUGGUGUUUUCUUCACUGUGACCUAUGAGGAGUUCUGCAUCGUGCAGCUCUUGGGGUUCUCCUCACCAUGUUUUCCUUGAGAGAGCUUCAUUGUGCAUUUCUUGGUAUUGUUUUCACCUUGUUGCCCCUGAGAAGUGCUUCAUCCUCCAACAUGUGGUGUGUUUUUUUCUUGGUUCAGGCCCCUGAGUAUUGCGUCAUUGUGCAGCUUUAGGUGUUUUCUUCACUGCGGCCCUGAAGAUUGCUUCAUCAUGCAGCUUUUGGGUUUCUCUUCAUUACGGCCUUGUGGAGAUCUUCAUUGGCCAGCUUUUGGUGAUUUGUUCUCUGUGGCCCCGAGGAGUUCUUCAUCGUGCAGCUUUUGGUGUUUUCUUCUUUACGGUUCUGAGGAGUUCUGCAUCGUGCAGCUCUUGGGGUUCUCCUCACCAUGUUCUCCCUGGCCCUGAGGAUUGCUUCAUUGUGCAGCUUUUGUUGUUUCUUCCCUGCAGCCUCUGAGGAGUGCUUUGUUGAGCAGCUUUUAGUGUCUUCUUCACUUUGCGACCAUUGAGUUCUGCAUCAUGCAGCUUUUGGGGUUCCCCAUACCACAUGUCCCCUGAGGAGUUCUUCAGCGUGCAGCUUCUGGUGUUUUCUUCACUGUGGCGUGUGAGGAGUUCUGCAUCGUGCAGCUUCUGGGGUUCCGUUCACCACUUUUCCCCUGAGGAAAGCUUCAUCGGGCAGCUAUUUGUGUUUUCCUCACUACGACCCUGAGGAGAACUUCAUCAUGCAGCUUUUGUGGUUCUCCACACCACGUUUCUGCUGAGGAUUGCUUCAUCAUUCAGCUUUUCAAGUUAUCUUCAGUGUGGCUCUUGAAGAGUGAUGCUCAGUGGAGCUUUUUGUGUCUUCUUCACCUUGUGGCCCCUGAAGAUUGCUUCAGCGUGCAGCUUUUGGUGUUUUCUUCACUGUGACCUAUGAGGAGUUGUGCAUCGUGCAGCUCUUGGGGUUCUCCUCACCAUGUUUUCCUUGAGAGAGCUUCAUUGUGCAUUUCUUGGUAUUGUUUUCACCUUGUUGCCCCUGAGAAGUGCUUCAUCCUCCAACAUGUGGUGUGUUUUUUUCUUGGUUCAGGCCCCUGAGUAUUGCGUCAUUGUGCAGCUUUAGGUGUUUUCUUCACUGCGGCCCUGAAGAUUGCUUCAUCAUGCAGCUUUUGGGUUUCUCUUCAUUACGGCCUUGUGGAGAUCUUCAUUGGCCAGCUUUUGGUGAUUUGUUCUCUGUGGCCCCGAGGAGUUCUUCAUCGUGCAGCUUUUGGUGUUUUCUUCUUUACGGUUCUGAGGAGUUCUGCAUCGUGCAGCUCUUGGGGUUCUCCUCACCAUGUUCUCCCUGGCCCUGAGGAUUGCUUCAUUGUGCAGCUUUUGUUGUUUCUUCCCUGCAGCCUCUGAGGAGUGCUUUGUUGAGCAGCUUUUAGUGUCUUCUUCACUUUGCGACCAUUGAGUUCUGCAUCAUGCAGCUUUUGGGGUUCCCCAUACCACAUGUCCCCUGAGGAGUUCUUCAGCGUGCAGCUUUUGGUGUUUUCUUCACUGUGGCGUGUGAGGAGUUCUGCAUCGUGCAGCUUCUGGGGUUCCGUUCACCACUUUUCCCCUGAGGAAAGCUUCAUCGGGCAGCUAUUUGUGUUUUCCUCACUACGACCCUGAGGAGAACUUCAUCAUGCAGCUUUUGUGGUUCUCCACACCACGUUUCUGCUGAGGAUUGCUUCAUCAUUCAGCUUUUCAAGUUAUCUUCAGUGUGGCUCUUGAAGAGUGAUGCUCAGUGGAGCUUUUUGUGUCUUCUUCACCUUGUGGCCCCUGAAGAUUGCUUCAGCGUGCAGCUUUUGGUGUUUUCUUCACUGUGACCUAUGAGGAGUUCUGCAUCGUGCAGCUCUUGGGGUUCUCCUCACCAUGUUUUCCUUGAGAGAGCUUCAUUGUGCAUUUCUUGGUAUUGUUUUCACCUUGUUGCCCCUGAGAAGUGCUUCAUCCUCCAACAUGUGGUGUGUUUUUUUCUUGGUUCAGGCCCCUGAGUAUUGCGUCAUUGUGCAGCUUUUGUUGUUUCUUCACUGCGGCCCUGAAGAUUGCUUCAUCAUGCAGCUUUUGGGUUUCUCUUCAUUACGGCCUUGUGGAGAUCUUCAUUGGCCAGCUUUUGGUGAUUUGUUCUCUGUGGCCCCGAGGAGUUCUUCAUCGUGCAGCUUUUGGUGUUUUCUUCUUUACGGUUCUGAGGAGUUCUGCAUCGUGCAGCUCUUGGGGUUCUCCUCACCAUGUUCUCCCUGGCCCUGAGGAUUGCUUCAUUGUGCAGCUUUUGUUGUUUCUUCCCUGCAGCCUCUGAGGAGUGCUUUGUUGAGCAGCUUUUAGUGUCUUCUUCACUUUGCGACCAUUGAGUUCUGCAUCAUGCAGCUUUUGGGGUUCCCCAUACCACAUGUCCCCUGAGGAGUUCUUCAGCGUGCAGCUUUUGGUGUUUUCUUCACUGUGGCGUGUGAGGAGUUCUGCAUCGUGCAGCUUCUGGGGUUCCGUUCACCACUUUUCCCCUGAGGAAAGCUUCAUCGGGCAGCUAUUUGUGUUUUCCUCACUACGACCCUGAGGAGAACUUCAUCAUGCAGCUUUUGUGGUUCUCCACACCACGUUUCUGCUGAGGAUUGCUUCAUCAUUCAGCUUUUCAAGUUAUCUUCAGUGUGGCUCUUGAAGAGUGAUGCUCAGUGGAGCUUUUUGUGUCUUCUUCACCUUGUGGCCCCUGAAGAUUGCUUCAGCGUGCAGCUUUUGGUGUUUUCUUCACUGUGACCUAUGAGGAGUUGUGCAUCGUGCAGCUCUUGGGGUUCUCCUCACCAUGUUUUCCUUGAGAGAGCUUCAUUGUGCAUUUCUUGGUAUUGUUUUCACCUUGUUGCCCCUGAGAAGUGCUUCAUCCUCCAACAUGUGGUGUGUUUUUUUCUUGGUUCAGGCCCCUGAGUAUUGCGUCAUUGUGCAGCUUUAGGUGUUUUCUUCACUGCGGCCCUGAAGAUUGCUUCAUCAUGCAGCUUUUGGGUUUCUCUUCAUUACGGCCUUGUGGAGAUCUUCAUUGGCCAGCUUUUGGUGAUUUGUUCUCUGUGGCCCCGAGGAGUUCUUCAUCGUGCAGCUUUUGGUGUUUUCUUCUUUACGGUUCUGAGGAGUUCUGCAUCGUGCAGCUCUUGGGGUUCUCCUCACCAUGUUCUCCCUGGUGAAAUCUUCCUCAUGCAACUUUUCGUUUUGUUUCACCUUGUUGCCCCUGAGAAGUGCUUCAUCUUCCAAA